AUGUACUCUGUAGCUCUGCUGCUGUUGCUUCUGCUUACUGCAUCCUGUGUUAAGUGUGAACAACUGACACAGCCAGCCUCAAAGACUCUACAGCCAGGUCAACGUCUGACCAUAAACUGUCAGGUCUCUUAUGAUUUCAGCAGCUACUGGACAGCUUGGAUCAGACAACCUGCAGGAAAAGGACUGGAGUGGAUUGGGUGGAAAUAUGCUGGAGGUUCAAACUAUAAAGAUUCCCUAAAGAACAAGUUCAGUAUUGACUUAGACACUUCCAGCAAAACAGUGACUCUGAAUGGACAGAACAUGCAGCCUGAAGACUCUGCUGUGUAUUACUGUGCCAGAUAUCCACAGUGA